GUGUCAGCAGCCGCGGUAAUACGGAGGUGGCAAGCGUUGUUCGGAAUUACUGGGCGUAAAGGGCGCGUAGGCGGGGAGGCAAGUCGGGUGUGAAAUCCCUCGGCUCAACUGAGGAACUGCGCCCGAAACUGCUUCUCUUGAGUCCCGGAGAGGAAGGUGGAAUUCCCGGUGUAGCGGUGAAAUGUGUAGAGAUCGGGAGGAACACCGGUGGCGAAGGCGGCCUUCUGGACGGUGACUGACGCUGAGGCGCGAAAGCGUGGGGAGCAAACGGGAUUAGAUACCCCCGUAGUCC
rnacentral:rRNA from 1 species